rnacentral:rRNA from 1 species
GAUGAACGCUGGCGGCGUGCCUAAUACAUGCAAGUCGAGCGAACAGACGAGGAGCUUGCUCCUCUGACGUUAGCGGCGGACGGGUGUGUAACACGUGGAUAACCUACCUAUAAGACUGGGAUAACUUCGGGAAACCGGAGCUAAUACCGGAUAAUAUAUUGAACCGCAUGGUUCAAUAGUGAAAGACGGUUUUGCUGUCACUUAUAGAUGGAUCCGCGCCGCAUUAGCUAGUUGGUAAGGUAACGGCUUACCAAGGCGACGAUGCGUAGCCGACCUGAGAGGGUGAUCGGCCACACUGGAACUGAGACACGGUCCAGACUCCUACGGGAGGCAGCAGUAGGGAAUCUUCCGCAAUGGGCGAAAGCUUGACGGAGCAACGCCGCGUGAGUGAUGAAGGUCUUCGGAUCGUAAAACUCUGUUAUUAGGGAAGAACAAAUGUGUAAGUAACUAUGCACGUCUUGACGGUACCUAAUCAGAAAGCCACGGCUAACUACGUG